UGAGUCGAGUUGUUUGGGAAUACAGCUCAAAGUAGGUGGUAAAUUCCAUCUAAAGCUAAAUAUUGGUGCGAGACCGAUAGCGAACAAGUACCGUGAGGGAAAGAUGAAAAGAACUUUGAAAAGAGAGUUAAAGAGUACCUGAAACUGUUGAAAGGGAACCGUAUCGUUUCCAGUGUUGUAUCCUAUGCAUAUUUCAUUCGCGGAGUAAUUUGCGGGUGCCCUGUGCAUGGGUGUGACGUCAGGGGUCAGUUUGUAUGCUGCGGGAGAUGGUCAGUGAGGAGGUGCGUCACUUCGGUGAAAGUUAUAUCUCGCUGUCUAGUAGCCGUGGUUGAGACUGAGGUGCCUACAACAUGCCUUAAGGUUCCGUGUUGUCUCGUGUUGGUGACUGCUUUGAUAGCUUGCUAUGUCUGUGGUUUAUCAGUGCGAUUGAUGAUGCGGAUAACUUUUGCUGUUCGGGACUCUGGCGAAAUGGAGCGAUACGACCCGUCUUGAAACACGGACCAAGGAGUCUAACAUGUGUGCAAGUAUUAGGGCGUGGAAACCCAAAUGCGUAAUGAAAGUAAAUGCUGCUUAUGCAGCUGUGGUAGGAAAGGGCUGUCAAGGUCCUGGCACUAUCGACCGAUCAUGAGCCUACGGGCAAAAGAUUUGAGUAUGAGCAUAUAUGUUGGUACCCGAAAGAUGGUGAACUAUGCCUGAAUAGGGUGAAGCCAGGGGAAACUCUGGUGGAAGCUCGUAGCGAUUCUGACGUGCAAAUCGAUCGUCAAAUUUGGGUAUAGGGGCGAAAGACUAAUCGAACCAUCUAGUAGC
rnacentral:rRNA from 1 species